GCCACUGCAGUAACAGCCACAUCUUCACGUCACGUAGCUUCAGUACCAUCUCAUCCCACCAACCCUGUCAGUCCACCAGGCCACUGCAGUAACAGCCACAUCUUCACGUCACGUAGCUUCAGUACCAUCUCAUCCCACCAACCCUGUCAGUCCACCAGGCCACUGCAGUAACAGCCACAUCUUCACGUCACGUAGCUUCAGUACCAUCUCAUCCCACCAACUCUGUCAGUCCACCAGGCCACUGCAGUAACAGCCACAUCUUGACGUCGUGUAGCUUCAGUACCAUCUCAUCCCACCAACCCUGUCAGUCCACCAGGCCACUGCAGUAACAGCCAUAUCUUCACAUCUCAAAGCUUCAGUACCAUCUCAAUGUGUUGAAGUACCAUCCAGGAUCCUGUGGCAACGUCAAUAUGAAACAGCAUUGACCCGUGAUCACCACCAACCAGGGCUCCACAGCGCUAGCCUUGGACACCCAGUGAAACAGCACUGACCCGUGAUCACCACCAACCAGGGCUCCACAGCGCUAGCCUUGGACACCCAGUGAAACAGCACUGACCCGUGAUCACCACCAACCAGGGCUCCACAGCGCUAGCCUUGGACACCCAGUGAAACAGCACUGACCCGUGAUCACCACCAACCAGAGCUCCACAGCGGUUGCCUUGGACACCCAGUGAAACAGCACUGACCCGUGAUCACCACCAACCAGGGUUCCACAGCGGUUGUCUUGGACACCCAAGUGAAACUGCACUGACCCGUGAUCACAACCAACCAGGGCUCCACAGCGGUUGCCUUGGACACCCAGGCUUCACUCGUCAAAAGGACAUUUGGAAGGAUCCCAUUGAGCAAAGUAAACAACGAUAUGUUUUUUCAUGUCUUUUGCUCGUAGGGAUGACUUCCCAAGAGAGCACACCAGGCAGCAUGGAGCACAUUGAUGUGAUUGGCUGUUCAGCAGGAAGUUUCAUCUGGCCACACAGAAGGGAUGAUGAAUCUGACAGAGAAUGGUUUUUUUAAAUAAAUAUUAAAAAAAGAUGAAAAGUA